rnacentral:ncRNA from 1 species
GUGUUGUAGGACGGGGGAAAAGGUUAGCACUCCCCUUGACAAGGACGGGAGAGGCCCUUGGGCCUGACAACACGCACACAGCUAAGGCCACCUGCUUCGUGGCAUCUGACCACUGUUUUUA